CAGUCCCGUCCUGAAAAACUAAAACACCCAUCUGUUUAACACAAAGGCUGCUGGCUUUUACAGAAGUAUUUCCAGCAGUCAUGGUGUUACGCGGCCACAGGUAUACCCCCCUAUAUGAUGACUUAGUGGCAGGACAUUAGUGACAGUGUAAGUACUAUACUUAUACAAGAUUCCUGUCCCUGUGCGAUCAGCCAGGAGAGGGUUAAACUGUGCAGGCUCCAUGUGCUUGGUGCGCUCUACAGGAAAAUGUCCUCCAUCAAUCACAGGGGUCAUCCCUUCACUGGCAGAGGGAGGGGAGACAUCUGGGCAAGCUCACAGGCCCCGGGGGUGGGGCAGGGCCGGGCAUGGACUGCCUAUGCUGUCCGGUGUGAGCUCAUCCGCCGGAAGACGUCGGCCCGCCCCUUAGUUUCGCGCCUAGAAGUAAAGAGGCGCGGUAGUCUGCAGGGUCUGCGCGGGAAGGCGCCCUUUUGUUACAGGAGCGGCAAGACACAGGAAGGAACUGCCAGAGUAAAAGGAAAUCCCUAUAGCAAACAUAUGCUGUUCUGUGAAUUUAUCAUUCUCUUCAGAAUAUCCUCAAUGGAAAAUUCAAAAAGAAGAAAAAGGAGUAAACCUCCUAAAGGGACUUUAGAGGAAACAUUCAGUAUAAGAAGCAGGCGAGGUAAACGUAAAGCUGAAAGAUUUAAACCUGCUUACAAAAAGAAAAAAAUCUCUAAACAACUAAAAGAAAAACAGGAAAAUCAGCUGGUUAAAGAGAGAAGGGGAAAAAAGUAUGCAGCAGAAAAGAAGAUCAAAGAGUCUAUCAAGGAUAGAAAGUCUUCAGAGACGAUGCAAAAUGAAUUAGAGUUUACAAAGGAUCACAUGUCAAAUGACCUUGAAGCUAAAGAAAUUCAAGAUACUUCCACCACCGAACUGUUUUCCAGAAAAAUAAAUCACACUGGUGAAUUGUUGAAAGCAGAUGAGAAGGAACAUGUAGAAGCAACUGUUUGCAGGCAGCCUGACAGUGGAAGUCAAAGUGGACGUGUUACACGCCAGACAAGAGCAGUUCGAUUUGUUGGACACGUGAAACCAGUUGCUUAUGAUUUGGAUGUCACAGAUACUGAAUCUGGUGCUGAAGAAGAAAACUGUUCAGCUGAAGGUGAUGAGCCCAGUGUUAGUUCAGCUGGAGCUGGAGAAAAAUGCCGUCACCCGGUCUCUAAGGCUAUGCAGGUCCUGCCGCAGGAGCCCUACAUCCUCCUGCACCUGGCCCAUGAGGGACGUGCUGCUGGUCUGGUUUGCGAGAGAGAAUUAUUGAAACGAUGUUCAAUAACUUUUGAUCCUGAAACGAGAAGUGAUAAACUUUUAGAAUGUAUUGCCCAAAGUGAAAUGAGCACAUUUCUUGGAGAUGAAUCCUGCAAGUCUUGGUUUAACUUAAACAAUUGUAUAUUUAACACUGGAAAGAUGAUUAUCGCUCCAAAAAAGAAGAGCCAAAGACGCAUUCUUCUUUUAGAUAUUUUGAUUUACUAUGUUGAAAAGGGCAAGGUACAACUUAAUUUGCACAAGUCAGAACACAUUUUAAAGGAUGGAGACUUCUUUUUUGUUCCUCCAGGUUAGCUGAUGUGUAUACUCGUAGAUAUGCCGAUGUUGAGAUGGAAAAAAUUCAGAGACAUAACAAAGAUGAAAACAGCACGGUAACUGCUACUCCAUAGCCAAUCUUCAGGACACAGAAGCAGUGCUGGUCUUUAAUUGUAUAAAAGUAUGAAAAUCUACAGAUUAAAGUCAUUUUGGAAUAUGUUUUAUUGUAUGCACCUAACAGAUAUUUGUAAUAUUACUAUAAUGUAGAUGUUAAUAUUAUAAGCAAUAUAGAAUAAAUAAGCAGGGACAUUAAAGGAGUACUCAGGUGGAAAACUUUUUGUUAUUUUUUUUAUUUAUUUUUAUAUCAACUGGUGUCAGAAAAUUAAACA